GCCUCCACACUAGCCCAACCACAACAUCAAACUUAAACCCUAUAAUAAAAACAAACCAUUUGACAAAACUAGUAUAUGCGAUAGAACCCCCCCCCCGGAGCAAUAGAGACAGUACCGCAAGGGAACACUGAAAGAAUAAUGAAACAAACAAGCAAUAUAAAGCAAAGAUAAAGACUUGUACCUUUUGCAUCACGGUUUAACUAGCCACCUACAGACAAAAAGACUUUUAGCCUGUACCCCCGAAACUGAGUGAGCUACUACAAGGCAACUGCAAGAGUGAAUCCGUCUCUGUAGCAAAAGAGUGGAACGACCUAGUAGUAGAGGUGAAAAGCCUAACGAACCCAGUCAUAGCUGGUUGCUCAACAAAUGAAUUUUAGUUCAACUUUAGGUUACUAACGAGCUAAACACACCCCCACCACCAACCUAAAAGAUAUUCAAUAGGGGUACAGCCCUAUUGAAACAGAAUACAACCACAACUAGAGAGACAGCAACCCAGUUUUUAACCAGUAGGCCCUAAAGCAGCCACCAGGAAAUAAAGCGUCAAAGCACAAAAAGAAUCAAAUACCACUAUAAACCACAAACUCCUAAAACACAUUGAGCCACCCUAUAACAAUAGCUGCACUAAUGCUAAAACUAGUAACAAGAAGACUUCUCUAAGUACCCCUUUGUGUCAGUAAUAGAAAAACUACUGAUAAUUAACAGACCAAGCUAGGAACUACACGCAACUGUACAAAAUACUGUCAUACCAACACCGGAGUACUGUAAAGAAAGAUAACAAGCUGUAGAAGGAACUCAGCAAAAAUUAUCCCAACUGUUUACCAAAAACAUAGCCUUUAGCUAUACAAGUAUUAAAGGUCUUGCCUGCCCAGUGAAACAUUUUUAACGGCCGCGGUAUUCUAACCGUGCAAAGGUAGCGUAAUCACUUGUCUUCUAAAUAAAGACCAGUAUGAACGGCUAAAUGAGGAUAAUCCUGUCUCCUACAACCAAUCAGUGAAUCUGAUCUUCCCGUCCAAAAGCUGGAAUCCUAACACAAGACGAGAAGACCCCGUGGAGCUUAAGACUACCACUAACACACUGCCACAGAAAACUAACAAAAGUCUUAAGUUGGGGCGACUUCGGAACAAAACAAAACUCCCGAGCAAUGAACCACACUUCUAACUAAGGCUAACAAGCCAAAGCAUAAAAUGACCCAGUCAUACUGACUAACGAACCAAGUUACCCCGGGGAUAACAGCGCCAUCUUCUUCAAGAGUCCCUAUCGACAAGAAGGUUUACGACCUCGAUGUUGGAUCAGGACACCCAAAUGGUGAAGCCGCUAUUAAAGGUUCGUUUGUUCAACGAUUAAUAGUCCUACGUGAUCUGAGUUCAGACCGGAGAAAUCCAGGUCGGUUUCUAUCUAUGACGCCACCUUCUUCAGUACGAAAGGACAAAGAAAGAAGGACCUCUGUUAAUAACACGUCCUUAUUAUACAACUGAAUAAAACUAAAGUUACAUAGGCAACCUAUGUCAGCCCGAGAUACAGGGCAU
rnacentral:rRNA from 1 species